rnacentral:misc_RNA from 1 species
UACGGAGGAUCCAAGCGUUAUCCGGAAUUAUUGGGCUUAAAGGGUCCGUAGGCGGGUUUAUAAGUCAGUGGUGAAAGUCUGCAGCUUAACUGUAGAACUGCAAUUGAUACUGUAGAUCUUGAAUUAUUAUGAAGUGGUUAGAAUAUGUAGUGUAGCGGUGAAAUGCAUAGAUAUUACAUAGAAUACCGAUUGCGAAGGCAGAUCACUAAUAAUGUACUGACGCUGAGGGACGAAAGCGUAGGUAGCGAGGAUG